rnacentral:tRNA from 3 species
UGGGGCAUCGUCUAACGGUAGGACUACGGAUUCUGGCUCCGUCAAUCGUGGUUCGAAUCCACGUGCCCCAGCCA